rnacentral:rRNA from 1 species
AGCGUACACGGUGGAUGCCCUGGCAGUCAGAGGCGAUGAAGGACGUGCUAAUCUGCGAAAAGCGCCGGCGAGGUGAUAUGAACCUUUGACCCGGCGAUGUCCGAAUGGGGAAACCCAGUGUGAUUCGUCACACUAUCGUUAACUGAAUACAUAGGUUAACGAGGCGAACCGGGGGAACUGAAACAUCUAAGUACCCCGAGGAAAAGAAAUCAACCGAGAUUCCCCCAGUAGCGGCGAGCGAACGGGGAGCAGCCCAGAGUCUGAAUCAGCUUGUGUGUUAGUGGAAGCGUCUGGAAAGUCGCACGGUACAGGGUGACAGUCCCGUACACGAAAAUGCACAGGUUGUGAACUCGAAGAGUAGGGCGGGACACGUGGUAUCCUGUCUGAAUAUGGGGGGACCAUCCUCCAAGGCUAAAUACUCCUGACUGACCGAUAGUGAACCAGUACCGUGAGGGAAAGGCGAAAAGAACCCCGGCGAGGGGAGUGAAAAAGAACCUGAAACCGUGUACGUACAAGCAGUGGGAGCACCUUCGUGGUGUGACUGCGUACCUUUUGUAUAAUGGGUCAGCGACUUAUAUUCUGUAGCAAGGUUAACCGUAUAGGGGAGCCGAAGGGAAACCGAGUCUUAACUGGGCGUUAAGUUGCAGGGUAUAGACCCGAAACCCGGUGAUCUAGCCAUGGGCAGGUUGAAGGUUGGGUAACACUAACUGGAGGACCGAACCGACUAAUGUUGAAAAAUUAGCGGAUGACUUGUGGCUGGGGGUGAAAGGCCAAUCAAACCGGGAGAUAGCUGGUUCUCCCCGAAAGCUAUUUAGGUAGCGCCUCGUGAACUCAUCUUCGGGGGUAGAGCACUGUUUCGGCUAGGGGGCCAUCCCGGCUUACCAACCCGAUGCAAACUACGAAUACCGAAGAAUGUUAUCACGGGAGACACACGGCGGGUGCUAACGUCCGUCGUGAAGAGGGAAACAACCCAGACCGCCAGCUAAGGUCCCAAAGUCAUGGUUAAGUGGGAAACGAUGUGGGAAGGCACAGACAGCCAGGAUGUUGGCUUAGAAGCAGCCAUCAUUUAAAGAAAGCGUAAUAGCUCACUGGUCGAGUCGGCCUGCGCGGAAGAUGUAACGGGGCUAAACCAUGCACCGAAGCUGCGGCAGCGACGCUUAUGCGUUGUUGGGUAGGGGAGCGUUCUGUAAGCCGUUGAAGGUGUGCUGUGAGGCAUGCUGGAGGUAUCAGAAGUGCGAAUGCUGACAUAAGUAACGAUAAAGCGGGUGAAAAGCCCGCUCGCCGGAAGACCAAGGGUUCCUGUCCAACGUUAAUCGGGGCAGGGUGAGUCGACCCCUAAGGCGAGGCCGAAAGGCGUAGUCGAUGGGAAACAGGUUAAUAUUCCUGUACUUGGUGUUACUGCGAAGGGGGGACGGAGAAGGCUAUGUUAGCCGGGCGACGGUUGUCCCGGUUUAAGCAUGUAGGCGGAACGAUUAGGUAAAUCCGGUCGUUUAUUAACGCUGAGGUGUGAUGACGAGGCACUACGGUGCUGAAGUAACAAAUGCCCUGCUUCCAGGAAAAGCCUCUAAGCAUCAGGUAACAUCAAAUCGUACCCCAAACCGACACAGGUGGUCAGGUAGAGAAUACCAAGGCGCUUGAGAGAACUCGGGUGAAGGAACUAGGCAAAAUGGUGCCGUAACUUCGGGAGAAGGCACGCUGAUAUGUAGGUGAAGCCCCUGCGGGUGGAGCUGAAAUCAGUCGAAGAUACCAGCUGGCUGCAACUGUUUAUUAAAAACACAGCACUGUGCAAACACGAAAGUGGACGUAUACGGUGUGACGCCUGCCCGGUGCCGGAAGGUUAAUUGAUGGGGUUAGCGGCAACGCGAAGCUCUUGAUCGAAGCCCCGGUAAACGGCGGCCGUAACUAUAACGGUCCUAAGGUAGCGAAAUUCCUUGUCGGGUAAGUUCCGACCUGCACGAAUGGCGUAAUGAUGGCCAGGCUGUCUCCACCCGAGACUCAGUGAAAUUGAACUCGCUGUGAAGAUGCAGUGUACCCGCGGCAAGACGGAAAGACCCCGUGAACCUUUACUAUAGCUUGACACUGAACACUGGUCCUUGAUGUGUAGGAUAGGUGGGAGGCUUUGAAGCGUGGACGCCAGUCUGCGUGGAGCCGUCCUUGAAAUACCACCCUUUAAUGGCUGGUGUUCUAACGUAGACCCGUAAUCCGGGUUGCGGACAGUGUCUGGUGGGUAGUUUGACUGGGGCGGUCUCCUCCCAAAGAGUAACGGAGGAGCACGAAGGUUAGCUAAUCCUGGUCGGACAUCAGGAGGUUAGUGCAAUGGCAUAAGCUAGCUUGACUGCGAGAGUGACGGCUCGAGCAGGUGCGAAAGCAGGUCAUAGUGAUCCGGUGGUUCUGAAUGGAAGGGCCAUCGCUCAACGGAUAAAAGGUACUCCGGGGAUAACAGGCUGAUACCGCCCAAGAGUUCAUAUCGACGGCGGUGUUUGGCACCUCGAUGUCGGCUCAUCACAUCCUGGGGCUGAAGUAGGUCCCAAGGGUAUGGCUGUUCGCCAUUUAAAGUGGUACGCGAGCUGGGUUUAGAACGUCGUGAGACAGUUCGGUCCCUAUCUGCCGUGGGCGCUGGAGAAUUGAGGGGGGCUGCUCCUAGUACGAGAGGACCGGAGUGGACGCAUCACUGGUGUUCGGGUUGUCAUGCCAAUGGCACUGCCCGGUAGCUAAAUGCGGAAAAGAUAAGUGCUGAAAGCAUCUAAGCACGAAACUUGCCCCGAGAUGAGUUCUCCCUGACUCCUUGA